GUGGGGAAUCUUCCGCAAUGGGCGAAAGCCUGACGGAGCAACGCCGCGUGAACGAUGAAGGUCUUAGGAUCGUAAAGUUCUGUUGUUAGGGACGAAGGGUAAGAAUCAUAAUACGGUUUUUAUUUGACGGUACCUAACGAGGAAGCCACGGCUAACUACGUGCCAGCAGCCGCGGUAAUACGUAGGCGGCAAGCGUUGUCCGGAAUUAUUGGGCGUAAAGGGAGCGCAGGCGGGAAACUAAGCGGAUCUUAAAAGUGCGGGGCUCAACCCCGUGAUGGGGUCCGAACUGGGUUGCUUGAGUGCAGGAGAGGAAAGCGGAAUUCCCAGUGUAGCGGUGAAAUGCGUAGAUAUUGGGAAGAACACCAGUGGCGAAGGCGGCUUUCUGGACUGUAACUGACGCUGAGGCUCGAAAGCUAGGGUAGCGAACGGGAUUAGAUACCCUUGUAGUCC
rnacentral:rRNA from 1 species